AGCUCCGCGAAUACGAGCUAUCAGAAGUGUUCCACCGAGCCAGCGACGAGCGAAAAUACGACGUCCUGCAGCUGGACAAGCUGAGCCACAACAACAUCGACGUGCUGGACGGGAACCGGGCGCUGUCCGUCGCCGAGGAGGUGGAGCGUGCGGAACAGGCACCCAGGAUAUACCCGAUGGGUCGCUCACCACGCCUGAUGGGGCCUACUCCUACUACACUUUAUCGAACACGACAUCAAGUACGACCGAAGAGCCCCGCUCGGCCAACGAGCUGCCGACGUCAGGGCCGACCGCGAGCGAGCGGUCCGCGCUGCGCAGCCUCGCGCGCCGGUACCGCGCGCGGCGCCGGCGCAAGCUGCGCGUCGACACCACCGACCCUGCCGAGCGAAGGAAGCGGAAAAGAGCUAGACUGUUAGAUUGUCGCGUGUCUGACUGGGGCGAGUGGAGCGCGUGCCGCAGUGACGGCGGCUGCGUGGGCUCAGCGUUGCGCACGCGCAG